AGGUGAGCGUUUUCAAGCCCAUCCCCCGGGGGGAGGCUGGAGCCCGGAGCGGGCCGGCUACCCAGGAGCGCAGGCCCCGCCUCCCGGGGCUCGGCGCUCGCGGCCCGGGUGGGGAGGUCAUUAUCUGGCGCUCCCAGGCCCGCGCGGCUCACGUGGCCGCGGCUCAGAGCCUCCCGGGUCCCAGGGCCGCUCAGCUCGCGAGGAGAUAAGCUCCGGCGCCCCCAGUGCGUGUCCGGCGCGGGCGGCCGGGGCUCCAGGCCCCCACCCCGCCCCUCGGGCCGGCCCGGCCCACUUGGCCCAGCUUCCUCUCCAUAAAAGGCGAGGUUUGGGAGCGCCCGGGGAGGGGGUGCUGGCCCCAUAGGCCCGGCCGGAGAGGGUGGCCGGAGCUGCCCACCCCCGGCCCACCCCCCCAGGGAGCCGCCGCGGGCCUGGGGGACUCAGGGUGGGGAGGGGGGGCGCAGCCCAGCGCCCGAAUUUUCUAAAUCGCUGCCUCUAUCUUCCCAGACCGCCACCCCGAGCGGGCUCCCCGCUCCAAACCGGACCCCCUGGAGUCUCCCCGUUGUGCAUGUGAACUCAGUGAGGCCCGCAGCGUGGCAGGGCCGGGGGCGGGGGCGAGGGCGGAAGAACAGCUGGAAACGCCAGCGUGCCCCACGGUCAAGCUGCGACGCAGGAAGGAGUGAAGCAAGGAGCCGGGAGUUGGACGCAGUGGUCAACCUCUCUGACCCUCAGUUUCUUCUUCUGUAUGAUGGGCCAGCAUCAUCGCUCUGGGGCAGGCCCUGCCUCCCCCAGGCUUGCUGGACAAGAAGUGGCUGUGGGAAAGCAUCCAGCAAGAGGAGUGUCCUUAGCUGCCCAGGGCCCAGCCGUCACCCACCCACUGAACUCUCCAGCGGCAGCCUCCCAGCCACCCUACUGGGGUGAACAUUUCUCCGCCCCUUUUCCCGAUGAGGAAACUGAGGAAGCUUGGGCUCCAUGGAGAUGGGCUCUACCAGUGUCCGGUCCGCGGAGACGACACAGGGGGAUUGUGCCACUGGACUGGGCUGGAUUUACGGACGUGAGUGUGCAUCCCGGAGUCAGGAUGUAACGCGUCAGCGGGUGCAGCUCAAAGGGCCUCCAACAAUUUGCUUGGUCUGUUGUCUGAAGUUACAUCCCAUCCCAUCAGUGGUCUACAUUCAUUGAGGCAGGCAUGAGAGAACUUCCCAGGCAUGAUGGGAGGAAGAAUCAGAAGAAAGUGAUUUAGCACGUGUGACUUGCAUGCCUCUGAGAAAUAUAUCAGCAAGGCAAUGCCAGCGUUCCCCGGGCUCCAGCAACCAUCCUCUCUGGGCUGCCGUGAGGGGGCGGUGUUCCACUGCCAUGGGCUUCUGAUCCCAGGGGGCUGAUGCCAUCCUGAAGGGCAGAGUCCAAGCACCGGCCCUUAAGUGCUAGAGUUAAGGUGGGCAAGUGACACAGAGAUGGGUCUAUUUCCAGAAAGUUCUGGCCUGCAGGAAAUUUGGAUGACAGCUAAUGGAUCGUGGUGUCCUUAGGAAUGAAGUAGAUUUGCCACAUACUAACUGAUCACUUGAGUUAUAAAAUUGGAAAACUGGGGAUCUGUUGGGCAGAAAUCCCACUGGAGUCCAUACACCCUAGAGUUUCUAGGGUUGAGGCAUGUAAGUAUUCAACGUAUAAUAAAGAAAUACUUUUGUUGGUCACUGUAUCACACAUUUGCAUUUUCAACUUGUGCUUGCCAGGGCUAAGUCGUUCAGUCGUGUCCGACUCUGUGCGACCCUAUGGCCUGUGGCCCGCCAGGCUCCUCUGUCCAUGGGAUUCUCCAGAGAAGAAUACUGGAGUGCGUUGCCAUGCCCUCCUCCAGAGGAUCUUGCCAACCUAGGGAUCGAACCUGUGUCUCUUAUAUCUCCUGCGUUGUCAGGGAGGUUCUUUACCACCGGCGCCACCUGGGAAGCCCCUCAACUUGUUGACAACUGCUAUUGCUACAGUAUCCUUUUUUCAUUUCUUUGUAAUUCUAUGCAUUUUAUUUUAUGCAUUGAAAGGCAUGAUUCUUAUUGUCUGUGAACGGAUGACUGGAUCAACAAAAUGGGUGUGGUAUAUAUAUAUAUAUAUAUAUAUAUAUAUACCUAUAAAUAUAAAAUAGAAUAUGAUUCUGCUUUUUAAAGGGAAAGAAAUUCUGACAUAUGCCACAAGGUGGAUGAACCUUGAGGACAUUAUGCCAAGUGAUUAAAACAGUCACAAAAAGACAAAAACUGUACAAUUUCACUGACCUGAAACAGCUACAUAGUCAAACAGAAAGUAGAAGCGUGGUUAGCAGGGUCUGGGGCUCUGGGGCCAGGGUGAAAAGGGGAAUUUAUUGAGUAUAGAGUUUCAGGUUUGCAAAACGAAAAACUUCUGGAAAGUUGUUUCUCAAGUGUGAAUGUCUUACUGCUAGGAAGCUGCAGUUAAAAUGGGCUCAGUCAGUUCAGUCACUCAGUUGUGUCCAACUCUUUGCAACCCCAUGGACUGCAGCACACCA